rnacentral:tRNA from 5 species
GGUGAAUGUAGUUCAGUUGGUAGAGCGCCAGUUUGUGGCACUGGUUGUCGUGGGUUCGAGUCCCAUCGUUCACCCCAU